UAGCCGUAAACGAUACUCACUAGGUGUCGGCCACGGUGCGACCGUUGUCGGUGCCGUAGGGAAGCCGUGAAGCGAGCCACCUGGGAAGUACGGCCGCAAGGCUGAAACUUAAAGGAAUUGGCGGGGGAGGCACCACAAGAGGUGGAGGCUGCGGUUCAAUUGGACUCAACGCCGGAAACUACAUCGGGAGGCGACAGCAGUAUGAUUGCCAGGUUGAUGACCUUGCUUGACAAGCUGAGAGGUGGUGCAUGGCGUAGACGUCU
rnacentral:rRNA from 1 species